rnacentral:rRNA from 1 species
GACGAACGCUGGCGGCGUGCUUAACACAUGCAAGUCGAACGGAAAGGCCCUGCUUUUGCGGGGUGCUCGAGUGGCGAACGGGUGAGUAACACGUGAGUAACCUGCCCUUGACUUUGGGAUAACUUCAGGAAACUGGGGCUAAUACCGGAUAGGAGCUCCUGCUGCAUGGUGGUGGUUGGAAAGUUUCGGCGGUUGGGGCUGGACUCGCGGCUUAUCAGCUUGUUGGUGAGGUAGUGGCUUACCAAGGCUUUGACGGGUAGCCGGCCUGAGAGGGUGACCGGCCACAUUGGGACUGAGAGACGGCCCAGACUCCUACGGGAGGCAGCGGUGGGGAGUAUUGCACAAUGGGCGGAAGCCUGAUGCAGAAACGCCGCGUGCGGGAUGACGGCCUUCGGGUUGUAAACCGCUUUCGCCUGUGACGAAGCGUGCGUGACGGUAAUGGGUAAAGAAGCACCGGCUAACUACGUG